rnacentral:lncRNA from 1 species
CUACUUCAUCAUCAUCAGAUGUCAACAUCAAGUUCUCAGCAACAUCAGCAGGUGUCAUAUCUGUUUCUUCCAACAAAUUGCCAAUUUCUUCGAAAAGUGGAUGAGAAUCAAUGUCCAAAUAGUUCUUUGCUAACACCUUGAAUGCUUCGAACCUACAAUAUGACAUUUCAACGUGUUUAUCCAUUCUCCCUCUCCUGAUUAAAGCUGGAUCAAGCUUGUCAACAUGGUUGGUGGUGAAAACAAUGAUUCUUUCACCCCCACAAGCUGACCAAAUUCCAUCAAUGAAGUUCAACAGCCCUGAUAAUGUUACUUCACUCUCUUUUCUCUCCUCAUUUUUUGACAUUGCACCAAUUGGAUCGCCCCCUUCAUUCUUAUCAUCUUUCUUCUUCUUCUUCUUUUCUUCCCUUUGGCCUGUAAGAUCAAGAGAACAAUCAAUGUCCUCUAUCACUAUGAUAGACUUGUUUGAUGUCUCAAUCAAAAGCCUUCUCAAUUCCACAUUGUUCUUAACUGUUGUAAGCUCAAGAUCAUACACAUCAUAGUUCAAAAAGUUAGCCAUGGCAGCAACCAUGGUGGAUUUGCCAGUUCCUGGAGGACCAUAAAGUAGAUAACCACGUUUCCAAGCUUUCCCAAUCUUAGCAUAAUACUCUUUCCCAUUACUGAACGUCACUAGAUCUUUCUUGAUCUCCCUUUUCUUCUUUUCAUCCAUUGCUAAUGUAUCAAAUGUUGCAGGAUGUUCAAAAGCCACAUGUGUCCAUGUAGUACUACUUCGGUUGCCUUGGCCUGCACCGUUCGAGUAGAGCUUCCGCUGCCGGUUAUUUGCAGCGAUAGCCUUCCCUUGUUUCAGCACAUGGCUAAGAUAAGUUCCGGUGAUGACUUC